GACUACAGAACUAAGUUUUAGGGGGGGCCAUCAGUUGUCUCCCAGCACAACACCAAAAUAUCAAGUUGUAUUGUUGGAACAAGAUGAUGUUUUAAAAACUACUAACGUUGUAGUAGUUUUUAAAUCUGCAGUGUUUUUGAAUACUCUACAGGCAGAGGGCCUGGUGGAACACAAUUGCCUGGUGACAACUGAUUAUGUUUAUUCCAGUACACUAGAUUUAAAGGACGCUCCUUUAUCUCAUCCUGAUUUGGAAUUAUUUACGGAUGGUGGUAGCUACGUAGAACAUGAAGCAUGCUUCACUGGAUAUAAGGAAAAACCUUGACAGCUUUGAGAAGCUUCCCAGUGUGGAAUCGACCGCUAACUUUGGAAAAUCCGGUUCAUGACUUCCAACCAGAAGAUUAUGAGAAGACAUGGAUUUCUGAACCUCUUCAGGAACAUUGGAAAGGAGCUUUUCAAGUACUGUUAACUCCUGUUAACUGAUUGUUAACUACUUUUACUGCCAUUAAGAUAGCUGAAUCAGAAGUGUGGAUACAUUAUAUUAGAGUGAAGAAAGCCUCACCAACUUGGAAGAUUGUUAAUAGGGAUCCUAAGACUUCAAAACUGACUUUUAGAUAUGCUGUUUAAUCUUACGUAUCACCUUGAAGUCUGGGGAGAAUGGAUAUUGAUUUGGAAAUUAAUGUUA